GACGAACGCUGGCGGCGUGCCUAAUACAUGCAAGUAGAACGCUGAAGAGAGGAGCUUGCUCUUCUUGGAUGAGUUGCGAACGGGUGAGUAACGCGUAGGUAACCUGCCUUGUAGCGGGGGAUAACUAUUGGAAACGAUAGCUAAUACCGCAUAACAAUGGAUGACACAUGUCAUUUAUUUGAAAGGGGCAAUUGCUCCACUACAAGAUGGACCUGCGUUGUAUUAGCUAGUAGGUGAGGUAAUGGCUCACCUAGGCGACGAUACAUAGCCGACCUGAGAGGGGGAGCGGCCACAAGGGGACUGAGACACGGCCCAGACUCCUAAGGGAGGCAGCAGUAGGGAAUCUUCGGCAAGGGGGGCAACCCUGGCCGAGCAACGCCGGGGGGGUGAAGAAGGUUUUGGGAUCGAAAAGCUCUGUUGUAAGUCAAGAAGGGGGGGGGGAGUGGAAAGUUCACACUGGGGCGGUAGUUUACCAGAAAGGGACGGCUAACUACGU
rnacentral:rRNA from 1 species